AGCCUAUGAGUUGGGCAUUUAAGUAGUUAUUUCUUAAACCUCACCCACGUUUCAUGGAUGGGUUUCCCCUCCCAUCGCUUGAAACCUUGUAUAUCGUCUCUAAGUUU